ensembl:rRNA 5S_rRNA 5S ribosomal RNA
UUUUACGACCACACCGGCCUGAGUACGCCUGAUCUCGUCUGAUCUCGGAAGCUAAGCAGGGUCGGGCCUGGUUAGUACUUGGAUGGGAGACUUCCUGGGAAUACCAGGUGCUGUAAGCU